UCAAUCAAUCAAUGAAUUAGUUGAGUGACGGCAGUGGCCAGACAGUGGAUGUUGUUGUGGUUCCCUGCGGUCAAUCAAUCAAAGCAGAAACCAGAGCCACACAGAAGAAUACCAAACUAAAUGAAAAGACACCACUUUUUUAAAAAUUACAUUUACAGGAACAGUCAACUCCCUAGACCGUAGGAGGUGUCCUUUAGGUCCAGCACUGCCAAUAACAGUCAACUCCCUAGACCGUAGGAGGUGUCCUUUAGGUCCAGCACUGACAAUAACAGACAACUCCCUAGACCGUAGGAGGUGUCCUUUAGGUCCAGCACUGCCAAUAACAGUCAACUCCCUAGACCGUAGGAGGUGUCCUUUAGGUCCAGCACUGACAAUAACAGUCAACUCCCUAGACCGUAGGAGGUGUCCUUUAGGUCCAGCACUGCCAAUAACAGUCAACUCCCUAGACCGUAGGAGGUGUCCUUUAGGUCCAGCACUGCCAAUAACAGACAACUCCCUAGACCGUAGGAGGUGUCCUUUAGGUCCAGCACUGCCAAUAACAGUCAACUCCCUAGACCGUAGGAGGUGUCCUUUAGGUCCAGCACUGACAAUAACAGUCAACUCCCUAGACCGUAGGAGGUGUCCUUUAGGUCCAGCACUGCCAAUAACAGUCAACUCCCUAGACCGUAGGAGGUGUCCUUUAGGUCCAGCACUGCCAAUAACAGUCAACUCCCUAGACCGUAGGAGGUGUCCUUUAGGUCCAGCACUGCCAAUAACAGACAACUCCCUAGACCGUAGGAGGUGUCCUUUAGGUCCAGCACUGCCAAUAACAGACAACUCCCUAGACCGUAGGAGGUGUCCUUUAGGUCCAGCACUGACAAUAACAGUCAACUCCCUAGACCGUAGGAGGUGUCCUUUAGGUCCAGCACUGACAAUAACAGACAACUCCCUAGACCGUAGGAGGUGUCCUUUAGGUCCAGCACUGCCAAUAACAGUCAACUCCCUAGACCGUAGGAGGUGUCCUUUAGGUCCAGCACUGCCAAUAACAGUCAACUCCCUAGACCGUAGGAGGUGUCCUUUAGGUCCAGCACUGCCAAUAACAGACAACUCCCUAGACCGUAGGAGGUGUCCUUUAGGUCCAGCACUGCCAAUAACAGUCAACUCCCUAGACCGUAGGAGGUGUCCUUUAGGUCCAGCACUGACAAUAACAGACAACUCCCUAGACCGUAGGAGGUGUCCUUUAGGUCCAGCACUGCCAAUAACAGUCAACUCCCUAGACCGUAGGAGGUGUCCUUUAGGUCCAGCACUGCCAAUAACAAAAGAAGGUGGCCACACGUUCUAUAGCUCCGAUGUAACAACAACAAUGCUACUGACACUUUUGACGGAAUCCUGUCUCCAUCAGGGUUUCUGAAUCCAUUUUAUUCCAGGUCCAUGUUUAAAACGCAGACAGAGAAAAACCUGAACGCCAUCUCUGAUGUCACCAUCUCUGAUGUCACCAUCUCUCUGACUUUGCUCCACGGUUGUU